GCUUGCUUUAGGUACACAUAUACUAAAAUUGAAAUGACACAAAGAAAAUUAGCAUGGCCUCUGUACAAGGAAGAUACAAAGAUGUGUGAAGUGAUCCAUAAAAUU